CCUACGGGAGGCAGCAGUCGAGAAUCAUUCACAAUGGGGGAAACCCUGAUGGUGCGACGCCGCGUGGGGGAAUGAAGGUCUUCGGAUUGUAAACCCCUGUCAUGUGGGAGCAAAUUAAAAAGAUAGUACCACAAGAGGAAGAGACGGCUAACUCUGUGCCAGCAGCCGCGGUACUACAGAGGUCUCAAGCGGUGUUCGGAAUCACUGGGCGUAAAGCGUGCGUAGGCUGUUUCGUAAGUCGUGUGUGAAAGGCGCGGACGUAACCCGCGGACGGCACAUGAUACUGCGAGACUAGAGUAAUGGAGGGGGAACCGGAAUUCGCGGUGUAGCAGUGAAAUGCGUAGAUAUCGAGAGGAACACUCGUGGCGAAGGCGGGUUCCUGGACAUUAACUGACGCUGAGGCACGAAGGCCAGGGGAGCGAAAGGGAUUAGAUACCCGUGUAGUC
rnacentral:rRNA from 1 species